rfam:Sporolactobacillus inulinus CASD NODE_228, whole genome shotgun sequence.
CCGUGCUAGAUGGGGAGGUAGCGGUGCCCUGUAACUCGCAAUCCGCUGUAGCGAGGUUGAAUUCCUUUCACGAGGUCUCGAUACUGUGAGGCAGCCUCAAGCACGUGGUGUUGACGUCUGGGUCCCGCGCAACGGAAACUCAUGAACCCUGUCAGGUCCGGAAGGAAGCAGCAGUAAGUGAGACCUUUCGUGUGCCGCGGGGCUGCCUGGGCCGAGCCGGCGACUUGAGAAACGCUCAUGGUGUCUUGAUCGACGAAAGGUGCACGG